rnacentral:rRNA from 1 species
GACGAACGCUGGCGGCGUGCUUAACACAUGCAAGUCGAACGGAAAGGCCCCUUUGGGGGUCCUCGAGCGGCGAACGGGUGCGUAACACGUGCGUAACCUGCCCUUGACUUCGGGAUAACUUCAGGAAACUGGGGCUAAUACCGGAAAGGAAUCCUUGCUGCAUGGUGGGGGUUGGAAAGCUUCGGCGGUUUUGGAUGGACUCGCGGCUUAUCAGCUUGUUGGUGGGGUAGUGGCUUACCAAGGCGUUGGCGGGUAGCCGGCCUGUGGGGGCGACCGGCCACAUUGGGACUGAGGUGCGGCCCAGACUCCUACGGGAGGCAGCAGUGGGGAAUAUUGCACAAUGGGCGGAAGCCUGGUGCAGCAACGCCGCGUGCGGGAUGACGGCCUUCGGGUUGUAAACCGCUUUCAGCAGGGGCGAAGCUUGUGGUGACGGUACCUGCAGAAGAAGCACCGGCUAACUACGUG